GCCAAGGACAGCGAUGACGAUGACGACGUCACUGUCGCCGUGGACCGAGACCGCUUCAUGGACGAGUUCUUUGAGCAGGUGGAGGAGAUCCGGGGCUUCAUUGACAAGAUCGCGGAGAACGUGGAGGAGGUGAAACGGAAGCACAGCACCAUCCUGGCCUCCCCCAACCCCGACGAGAAGACAAAGGAGGAGCUGGAGGAACUCAUGUCCGACAUCAAGAAGACGGCCAACAAAGUGCGGUCCAAGCUGAAGAGCAUUGAGCAGAGCAUCGAGCAGGAGGAAGGCCUGAACCGCUCCUCGGCCGACCUGAGGAUCCGGAAGACGCAGCACUCCACACUGUCCAGAAAGUUUGUGGAGGUCAUGUCCGAGUACAACGCGACGCAGUCCGACUACCGGGAGCGCUGCAAGGGCCGCAUCCAGAGGCAGCUGGAGAUCACUGGCCGGACCACGACCAGCGAGGAGCUAGAGGACAUGCUGGAGAGUGGGAACCCUGCCAUCUUUGCCUCCGGGAUCAUCAUGGACUCCAGCAUCUCCAAGCAGGCUCUGAGUGAGAUCGAGACACGGCACAGCGAGAUCAUCAAGUUGGAGAACAGCAUCCGCGAGCUACACGACAUGUUCAUGGACAUGGCCAUGCUGGUGGAGAGCCAGCCUCAGGCUGCUUUCCUGAAGUCCUGCCCGAGCCCCCACCCCAAGGCCAAGGAGGAAACCCCCUGGAGCUCGCCUGCCUUCGGCCCCCCAGGGGGAGAUGAUUGACAGGAUCGAGUACAACGUGGAACACUCAGUGGACUACGUGGAACGGGCUGUGUCUGACACGAAGAAGGCGGUCAAGUACCAGAGCAAGGCGCGCCGGAAGAAGAUCAUGAUCAUCAUCUGCUGCGUCAUCCUGGGCAUCGUCAUCGCCUCCACCUUCGGAGGCAUCUUCGGGUAGACGCCGCCCAACGGCCGCCCUGCCCUGAGGAGGCCCUGGCUGCUGGCCGCCCACCUUCUGGCUCACAGCCUCCUCCCUCCCACCCCCUUCUGCUCCUCUCUGCCCUGGGCCGUGUCGUGUGCAUGAUCUUUGUGACAGUGCGUGUCUGUACAGGGGAGGCAGACGGGAGCCGGGCUGCAGCGGGGGCGGCCUGGGGCAGACUCAGGCCCUGGCCCAGGCUGCCCCCGCCCUGCCCCGCCGAGACAGGGCUGCCGGGUAGCACCUGCUACCCCUCCUCACCUGGGACCCAGGCUCUGUCUGGACCUAGCCUUGCCCAUCUGCCCUGUCCUCUCCAGCUGUCCCCCAAGCUGAGCCCCUGAGGGGUGGGGACCAGCUGGCUAUGGUGCUGCUUUUCAGGUUAGGGGAGGGGUGGCCCAGAGGGACAGUCCAGCUCUGCACCUCUAUCAGCUGACCACUGCCACAAGGCUCAGGGAGCUGUGGCUGCUGACCAGGUGGAGGCCAGGGUCUCCCCCCAACCCAGGGGCAAGGCCCAACAGCUUCCCCGCCCACAUCCCUGGGAGCUAAAGCACCCCUUUGGGCUAGGCCUGACGCCAGAUGACCCGUGCAGAGGCUGGUGGUCAGGCCUGUGCCCAGGCGUCCCCAGCAGGCCUCAAGCCAUGCUGCAUGUUCGGGACAGCAGUGCCUGCGCCCGUGUGCUCUAGGUCGGAUGUCCCUUGAGGCCUGCAGUCUCAUCCCGCCCUGCUGUCCCCGUUGAUGUGCCAUGUGGGUGUCAGAUGUCCUAGACGCAGUAUUCAGCAGUGGGGAGGGGCUGCUCUCCCCUCCCUGUCCACCUGGAGUCAGAAUGGGGCCCCACCCCCGAGACCCCUGCCGACGGGCAGGAGGUGUGCAUGCCGGUGUGCAUGGGGUGUGCUGGGGCCGCAUCCACCCUCCGGAAUCCCCGCGCUUGGCUCCUGCCGUGACUGUGACCACUGUCCGUGUUGCCUUCUUCAACAGCCACUUCCCACCCCCUUCACCAAAGGUCUUGGUACAACCAGCUGCCCAUUUUGUGAGGUUUUUAUGUAGAAUAAACAUUUGUACCUGUA